rnacentral:rRNA from 1 species
AGUGAACGCUGGCGGUAGGCCUAACACAUGCAAGUCGAACGGCAGCACAGUAAGAGCUUGCUCUUACGGGUGGCGAGUGGCGGACGGGUGAGGAAUACAUCGGAAUCUACUUUUUCGUGGGGGAUAACGUAGGGAAACUUACGCUAAUACCGCAUACGACCUACGGGUGAAAGCAGGGGAUCUUCGGACCUUGCGCGAUUGAAUGAGCCGCUGUCGGAUUAGCUAGUUGGCGGGGUAAAGGCCCACCAAGGCGACGAUCCGUAGCUGGUCUGAGGGGAUGAUCAGCCACACUGGAACGGAGACACGGACCAGACUCCUACGGGAGGCAGCAGUGGGGAAUAUUGGACAAUGGGCGCAAGCCUGAUCCAGCCAUACCGCGUGGGUGAAGAAGGCCUUCGGGUUGUAAAGCCCUUUUGUUGGGAAAGAAAAGCAGCAGGUUAAUACCCCGCUGUUCUGACGGUACCCAAAGAAUAAGCACCGGCUAACUUCGUG